AUGACCUCACUGGUCACUCCAGCACUUGUGAUGCUUUUCUUGCUGAGAGGAACAAGAACCCAAUCGCUGACACAGCCCGAAGUCCUGAUCACAGUCUCUGAAGGGGCUCCACUGGACCUGAAUUGCACCUAUUCAUAUUCUGGGUUUAUUUAUCUUUACUGGUAUGUCCAGUAUCCAAACCAAGAGCCCCAGUUUCUCUUGAAAUCUGCUACAGGUAGCAAGCUGGUUAAAGGCUUCCGAGGUUUUGAAGCUGAAUUUAACAAGAAUAAAACCUCCUUCCACCUGAAGAAACUCUCAGUUCAAGAGAGUGACUCAGCUGAGUACUUCUGUGCACUGAAUGCACAGUGA